rnacentral:rRNA from 1 species
UACAGAGGUCUCAAGCGUUGUUCGGAUUCAUUGGGCGUAAAGGGUGCGUAGGCGGCGCGGUAAGUCGGAUGUGAAAUCUCGGAGCUUAACUCCGAAACUGCAUUCGAUACUGCCGUGCUUGAGGACUGGAGAGGAGACUGGAAUUUACGGUGUAGCGGUGAAAUGCGUAGAUAUCGUAAGGAAGACCAGUGGCGAAGGCGGGUCUCUGGACAGUUCCUGACGCUGAGGCGCGAAGGCCAGGGGAGCAAACGGG